rnacentral:rRNA from 1 species
UACGAAGGGAGCAAGCGUUACUCGGAAUUACUGGGCGUAAAGCGCGCGUAGGCGGCCGCUUAAGUCGGAUGUGAAAGCCCUGGCUCAACUGGGGAAGUGCACCCGAAACUGAGUGGCUUGAGUACUAAAGAGGGUCGCGGAAUUCCCGGUGUAGAGGUGAAAUUCGUAGAUAUCGGGAGGAACACCGGUGGCGAAGGCGGCGACCUGGGUAGAUACUGACGCUGAGGCGCGAAAGCGUGGGAGCAA